UUGCGUUCGUGCGCGUGCGCUGAGGUGACCUGCAAGUGUAGGAGGUGCGGAGGGACUGCAGGUUCUGUCGCGGGUUGAAGGGUGGAAAAACUUGAAUUUCUGCAGUCAGGAGCCACCACACGAUUGCUGUGCCCGGGGCCAUCCCAGGAAGUUCGAGAUGAUGAGCAGAUGACACUCUGUCCUCCGCCCUGGGAAGGUGAAAUAUUCUAUAGGAGCAUAUCUGAUGGGGACCAGAAGUCACAAGAAGGCUGUGUGUGUGUAGACGAGGGGAGGGACUUUCCUGAUGGGGCUGCACUCUUUCUUGGUACUUGCCCAGCACCUCCUUCUGCCGCCCAGCUGCUUUUUGAGUUGCUUUCAAAAUACGCAGUUGCCUCCAAAAUAUGCAUCCUAGGACGCUCCAGUUUCACAUCCAGGUCUGAAGGUUUUACGUGACAUGUGAGGCUCCUUCGUCACUGUGACAUGCCAAUUUAUGUGGAUGUAGAAAUGCAGCAAAAAAGAACUGGGCUGAAUCUUAAUCAUUGGCUAAUGGUCUGCAUUACCCCUAAACAAUUAUUUACAUGUAUGUGGUUGAGAGCAUAUAUAUACCUGAUAUUCACAAACAUUUUCUCAGAAAUUUUAAAAAAUCUUUCUCAGAAGUGGUUUCCCUGUGGGAAGAGAAACAUGUACUCAUCUAAUACAUCUCUCUAAAAUUUACAAUAUUAAUAACUCAAAGUAAUUUGAGGCCUUUGGAGACAGUGUUCUUUAAAUUUAGAAGUGUAAUAAAAAAUGAUGCUGAUGAAGAAUUAGUAAAGAAUCCUGAGCUUUAUUGAUCCUUAGACUGGAAGAAGGGAGAGGAAGACCAAUAAAGGAUCUUACAGAGA